rnacentral:misc_RNA from 1 species
AAAAAAAAAAAAAAAACAAAAAACUAAUGAUUAAAUAUUAUGCCUGCAAUAGUGGAUUGAUGUAGUGACAUCACAGUGAACUAGUGUAACCUGGGCAAUAGCAUGGUUACUAAUGAAGAUAAGGUUGCACCACUUUUAUCCUUGGAAAAAACCUUUGUAUGAGAGAAGUGUUUUUACUCACGAGACAUUUUCAUCUUGGCUAUUGGCUUGUGAUUAGUGGUGGUGUGGACUGGUGAUCAAUUGUGUGAUAGUGAUAAUUGGUUGCUUUUCAACUGAAAAUCAACAGUUCAUGCACUUGCAGGAAUGUGAGGUUUUCACUUUUUUACAAAAUAAGAAUAGAAUUUUGGUGGCUAUGUGGUGUAGUCUUCUAUUUGGUGCCUGUAAACUUUGUUUUUGAUGUUCAAUGGAUUUGUAAUCAAUAUUGCCCUUUGAUCUUGUUAAAUUAGAGAAAAUGCAGUUGGUUUUAUGCUAUUUCUUUCCCUUUUUGUGCUGUUAUAUAUGUAUGGCGUUUGCUGCUUGUCAUUUUUGCAGGAGCUUUUGAGUGAUUUUGUGGAAUUCUUCAUGAAGGAGAGA